rnacentral:tRNA from 3 species
GGGGAUGUAGCUCAGUUGGGAGAGCACCUGCCUUGCAAGCAGGGGGUCGAGAGUUCGAAUCUCUUCAUCUCCACUA